UACGUAGGGUGCAAGCGUUGUCCGGAAUUAUUGGGCGUAAAGAGCUCGUAGGCGGUUUGUCGCGUCGGCUGUGAAAACCUGAGGCUCAACCUCGGGCCUGCAGUCGAUACGGGCAAACUAGAGUUCGGUAGGGGAGACUGGAAUUCCUGGUGUAGCGGUGGAAUGCGCAGAUAUCAGGAGGAACACCGGUGGCGAAGGCGGGUCUCUGGGCCGAAACUGACGCUGAGGAGCGAAGGCGUGGGGAGCGAACAGG
rnacentral:rRNA from 1 species